rnacentral:rRNA from 1 species
UGGGGAAUAUUGCGCAAUGGGGGGAACCCUGACGCAGCCAUGCCGCGUGAAUGAAGAAGGCCUUAGGGUUGUAAAGUUCUUUCGGUAUUGAGGAAGGUUGAUGUGUUAAUAGCACAUCAAAUUGACGUUAAAUACAGAAGAAGCACCGGCUAACUCCGUGCCAGCAGCCGCGGUAAUACGGAGGGUGCGAGCGUUAAUCGGAAUAACUGGGCGUAAAGGGCACGCAGGCGGUUAUUUAAGUGAGGUGUGAAAGCCCCGGGCUUAACCUGGGAAUUGCAUUUCAGACUGGGUAACUAGAGUACUUUAGGGAGGGGUAGAAUUCCAGGUGUAGCGGUGAAAUGCGUAGAGAUGUGGAGGAAUACCGAAGGCGAAGGCAGCCCCUUGGGAAUGUACUGACGCUCAUGUGCGAAAGCGUGGGGAGCAAACAGGAUUAGAUACCCUGGUAGUCCACGCUGUAAACGCUGUCGAUUUGGGGGUUGGGGUUUAACUCUGGCGCCCGUAGCUAACGUGAUAAAUCGACCGCCUGGGGAGUACGGCCGCAAGGUUA